CCUACGGGAGACAGCAGUGAGGAAUAUUGGUCAAUGGACGAGAGUCUGAACCAGCCAAGUAGCGUGAAGGAUGACUGCCCUAUGGGUUGUAAACUUCUUUUAUAUGGGAAUAAAAUGUUCCACGUGUGGGAUUUUGUAUGUACCAUAUGAAUAAGGAUCGGCUAACUCCGUGCCAGCAGCCGCGGUAAUACGGAGGAUCCGAGCGUUAUCCGGAUUUAUUGGGUUUAAAGGGAGCGUAGGUGGAUUGUUAAGUCAGUUGUGAAAGUUUGCGGCUCAACCGUAAAAUUGCAGUUGAAACUGGCAGUCUUGAGUACAGUAGAGGUGGGCGGAAUGCGUGGUGUAGCGGUGAAAUGCUUAGAUAUCGCGAAGAACUCCGAUUGCGAAGGCAGUUCACUGGACUGCAACUGACACUGAGGCUCGAAAGUGUGGGUAUCAAACAGGAUUAGAUACCCGAGUAGUC
rnacentral:rRNA from 1 species